rnacentral:rRNA from 1 species
GAUGAACGCUGGCUACAGGCUUAACACAUGCAAGUCGAGGGGAAACGACGGGGAAGCUUGCUUCCCCGGGCGUCGACCGGCGCACGGGUGAGUAACGCGUAUCCAACCUGCCUCUGACUGAGGGAUAACCCGUCGAAAGUCGUCCGAAUACCUCAUGGCAUCGUCUGCGGGCAUCCAACGACGAUUAAAGAUUUCAUCGUUCAGAGAUGGGGAUGCGUCUGAUUAGCUGGUUGGCGGGGUAACGUCCCACCAAGGCGACGAUCAGUAGGGGUUCUGAGAGGAAGGGCCCCCAAAGUGGAACUGAGACACGGUCCAAGCUACUACGGGAGGCAGCAGUGAGGAAUAUUGGUCAAUGGGCGAGAGCCUGAACCAGCAAAGUAGCGUGCAGGAUGACGGCCCUAUGGGUUGUAAACUGCUUUUAUGCGGGGAUAAAGUGAGGGACGUGUCCUUCAUUGCAGGUACCGCAUGAAUAAGGACCGGCGAAUUCCGU